rnacentral:misc_RNA from 1 species
GGAAGGAUCAUUGAAUCUAUAUCAAUCCACACACCGUGAACAAUAAAGUUGGCCACCCAAUUAAUAAGUAAUUAUUAAUUGGGUUGAGGACUGUAAGAGCUCUAGUAAUAAGGCUCAUGCAUGACUCAGUCGCUUCUCCGCUGUAUGUGUCGUAUAAAUUAAUUAAUUUAUAAGGCAUUACAUGAGCAGCGUCGGUCUCAUUACUAACCAACCAACACCAAACCUUAACCAAAUUAAAUUCGAGUGUCUAGCUUAGAGCUAGCGCUCACUAACCAAGACAACUCUCAACAACGGAUAUCUUGGCUCUCAGAUCGAUGAAGAACGCAGCGAAAUGCGAUACGUAGUGUGAAUUGCAGAAAUACGUGAAUCAUCGAAUCUUUGAACGCAAAUUGCGCUCGAGGCUUCGGCCAAGAGCAUGUCUGCCUCAGCGUCGGGUUAAUACUCACUCUCGUACUCACAUUAAUUUAAUUAAUGUGGGUGAGAGUGGAACUGGCUGUCUCGGUUAUUAAUUAAUUAAUUAAUUAACCGCCGGGUCAGCUGAAGUACAGAUAUUGUACCAUGGACCGUUAAACGGGCCUCUACUGGGUAGGCAAUUCGUUGCUGCAAUGCUUUUGUAGAUGGCUUGGGUGCUGUGUACAAUACGAAACAGGAAUACGACUCGUCGUAUUAAAACCCUAUUUCUCGACCUGAGCUCAGGCAA